GUGAACUCUAGUCAAAGCAUUGCAAGAAAACUGCUACCAAGAGGCAUGAAUUACCUGUACUAACUUUCUCCUCCAGGUCUUUAGCCCUGUCUUGUCUCCUACCUGUGAAGGUUAGUAUCAGGCUACCACAACGUACUAAGGGAAAGCAGAAUCUGCUUCCCUGCUUGUCAUUGGAGCUAACCUUUUUCCUCUUUCCUUUUCCCUUUCCUUUCUUUUUCCACAAACACAGCUUUUGCACAAAUGCAGAGAUUUUUCUUGCUUUCAUCCUGCAGCAGUGGUACUUUGUGGACAAACCAGUCUCUGGUGACGGAGAUCACAGGUGGAGUGCUGCUGCAGUGGCUCCUGAAAACUUCAUCUUUCUUUGGAGCCUGCUUCACUUCUGGAUGUGAAUCAGAACUCUACCAUUUUCAUCAAUGAAUUGGAGGCAAGGUGAUGAAAAAGGCAAGAGCUGCAUUUGAAUGAGAGAUCGAUCACAGAGACUGAAAGUGACAGCCCUAUCACAUUUGUUUGUGGACUUUGGAGACAGACAGAAAGGAUGAGCAAUUGACAAGGAGAUGCGAAAUACAUUGCAGAUCAUUCAACUAAUUAAGAAGGGGUUCAUUUUCUUUUAAGUCCAGUAAGAGGGAGCAACCUGAAUUGAUGCAUUAAGGGAAAAGAGAAGUAUGAUAUAAACACAGUUUGCACCUGGAAACCAUGCUUACUAUGCUCUGCAUUGCCCACAGUGGGAGAAUAAUGCAAGCUCACCUGGUCUCUUCCUCACCUUCUGCAGCAGGAAUGGUGCUAUCCCCCCAAACAUGGAAAAGAAAACUAUGAAAGACAUGCCGUGUUGGAGUUUUCUUCUAAAUGCUUAACUUCAGAAUUUUGCUUAUCUGCUACUGAAGUGCUAAUUCACUGGGAACUCUCCAUAGUAGUAUCAGUCUUAUGUAUUUACCUAUGAAGUUCUUCUAACAGAUGAAUUGUUUACUCAUAAACCUUCAAUUUCCAAUUCACUUAUUUAAAGUGAGAUUCUUCUUACAGAAUAAAUUCUGGAUCAUGGCUUUAAUUUAAUUUAUUCCUAAGUAACACAGAGCAGAACUUCAUUUUAUAGAGGAUGGAAAAAAAUAUUAUACUGCAUUUCCAUCUACAAAUUUUACUUUGUAUUAUUACAACAGUUUAGGAACUUAUGAUAUAUACAGUUUAAUAUUUUCUAUAUUAAAGCAAUCUCACAUAAAAUAACCAUUGUUACUGUUUAUUUUCUUACUUCUUACAGUGAUUUCUAUUCCAAAAUUAAUGAAGAGGAACUUUGGGUUUUGGUUUGUUGGUUACUUUUUGUUUGUUUGGGUUUUAAGUUGAAUUGUGUAUAUUUAAUAAAUGAGCAUCUUCUCUUGUCACAUUCUUGGUUUUUUUAAAACCACUAUUUUGGUAUACAAUCCCGAUCCCAAAAAUUUAUGUUACAUUAACAUGGAUUGUAUUUAGUGGAAAUAAAAGAUGUGAAUCCAAAA
ensembl:lncRNA